ACGGACAAACCCGAAAAUCCGUAAAAAAGAGUAGGAA
rnacentral:ncRNA from 1 species